UCAGACACGAAAACUAGUAAUUGUCUCAGCCCACUCAGGUCCUUCCCUCCCCAACCAAAAUUAAUUAGCCAUUCGCAGUUUCACUGUACCGGCCGUGUGUACUUACACUUGCAUGGCUUAAUCUUUGAGACAAGCAUAUGCUACUGGCAGGAUCAACCAGGUAGCCCAGACGGGACUAACCACUACAACCCCCAAAGAUCCUGAACACACUCUAAAAAAACAAAAAAAAACCCCAUUGACCUUAUACUUGAUUCCGUGACCUAAAAUGGAAAAAGGGCAGCAGUAGGUCAAACAUCAACCCACCCCACUCUCAUUGUUGUAAAUAAGAAAUGGAAUUAUUCUUUUCUCCCACUACUUUUUAAUACUAUGUGAUCCGACAUAUUCUGGGAUCUAAAACAAGUACCAGCCAAGUUGUGUGCUAUUAAGUAAAAUAGAACAAAUAGACAAGAGUUAACGGCUGUACUUGAAUUACUACAGGCAUAAUAAUAUCAGAUAACACUGGAAACAGAUUGCCAUAUUGCAAAUAUAAGUUGUUUGUCCACCGAUAACCAGAAUGAAAAACAAUGAAAUGUGCUUUACCUUAUUCACAAUAACUUCACGAUCCAAACCUCAUUCAAAAGCUUACUGUCUGAUACAAAAAGGCCAGAGAUAAUAAACUUCCGUCCUGACCGUAGCUUCAAUAUGGGAUCACUGGCUUGAAUCAGAGUCUGAAGAGUUCAAUUCGAAAUACAAGCGAGAUUACUCCGCUGUGAUGUCGGGGACGGAGGAAUCCCCUCCUCCUUUUCCGGCAGGGAGCGGAGAGAAUCCUCUGCGUCUGCGGGGUGGUUGAAAAUCAGGUAGUCAGUCCCGUUCUUGAUUUUCAACAUGUCUGGAUACAGCAGAAAAAACUCAAUUCCCCUGUUCUGCGCUGUGUCCAUUGCCUAUGCAAAACCUUCAUGGCGCUUGACUGUGUGGUUGCUGUAGUCCGCUGCAAAUCUCACCCUCUUGCCAUCCGGUAACUGGGUCCUUCUUCGCAGCUCGGAGAAUAGCCUGGCGAGUCGUGUAAUGAAGAGUGUUGAAAAUAAGGGAGCGGGCUCUGUCCCUGGCGACACGUCCCAUGUAGAUGUGGUGAGCCCGCAUUAUCUCAAUCGGCUCGGACCAAAGGGACAGAAACCACUUAGAAAGUGAUUGUGUCAAAUACUGCACUGCAUUUGAGCCCUCAGAUCCCUCUUUUAGGCCGAUAACAUGGAUGUUGCACCGCCUGCUCCUGUCCUCCAUGUCCGCUAGCUUAAGUUCAAGAGAUUUUAUAGUUGCGCUCAGCAACCACCUUUGAGUUGUCAUCCACAGCACUCUGAAGUGUAGAAAAGUCAGCCUUAAGCAAAGUCAUACCACCUGAAAGUGACACUCAAUCUGCUUUGGUUGCAUCCAACUUGCUAUCCGUGCUUUUGCCCAUCUCGUGCAGCUGAGCAAACCGAGGUUCAAAAAAUUGACGUUGUUUCUCCAUCAGGGAAUUGGUAAUGGCGUCGAGCUCAUUAGUGGAGUGGAGGUACCACUCGAGGAAUUUUUUUUCACAGAAUCAGCCAUUUCGUUCCUGACAGUUGAAAAAAUGUCGAGGCAAAAGAGUAAGCCAAGUUCAGUGGGAGAAAAAUCUCAAGAUUUCCCAAUUUUGACAGGGCGAGAGCGAGACCCCUAAGGGCGGCAAAGUUUUCUGAGCUUAAUGUUAGUGGCACUGGAUGCAAAGCAGUGGGAUGACUUUCACUGCCACAUUCUUUACAUUGCACUGUCUUAACACAGUCUUUGGCCAUAUGAUGGAUGGAAGAACAGCAUCUAAUACAUAUGUGUUUGUCUUUCAGAAGAGCUUUUCUUUCCUGUAAAGUUUUACUCCUGAACAAGUGACAUUUUCUCAAGGAGUGUGGCUUACCAUGUCAUGACUGGAUUUGUUGUACAGGUGGCAUCCUAUCACAGUUCCACGCUGGAAUUUACAUCGCUCCUGAGAGCGAUUCAUUCUUUCACAAAUUCACAAAUGUUUGUAAAAGCAGUGCAUGCCUAGGUGCUUGAUUUUGUACACCUGUGGCCAUGGAAGUGAUUGGAACAUCUGAUUCUGAUUAUUUGCAUGGGUGAGCGAAUACUUUUGGAAAUAUAGUGUAUAGCUGAAUGAUGUUUAUUUUGUCGUUUAUUAUAAUAGGAUAAUAUUGCUUUUUAUACCAACAAAUCAGUAAAGAAAGGAUGGUUUUACCUUGCUGACAUGUUUAAACUGCAUCUGCAGUCUUCCUCAGAGUGUCAUCUGAUGUGUUCUGACAUGUCCUUUUUAUCAGGUGAACGGUCUAACAGACAUUCUGUCAGACCGGCCACGCCCCCUGCCGUCCGGUGGUCUCUGGAGGAUGGAGUCCCAGCUGCCGGACACGUCAGCAGAUGACACUCUGAAGAAGACUGCAGAUGCAGCUGAAACAUGUAAGCAAGGUAAAACAAUCCUUUCUUUACCGAUUUGUCGGCAUAAAAAGCAACGUUAUCCAAUAUAGUGCUUUUGAGAAUGGCCCCGACACCAUUCAGACCACAAUUCAGAAUACUGGCAGGGCAAGCAGCAGCUCAAUUCUCCCAUUAAGCAACAGGGAAUGUAAGAGGACUGAUAUGAGACAGAAAAAAAUGUAAAAAGGUUCAAUUGUUUACAUUUUUGAGAUUUGGGUUGAGCUUAUUAAAGAUAUAUAUAUACACGUUG